GAUGAAGAACGCAGCGAAAUGCGAUAAGUAAUGUGAAUUGCAGAAUUCAGUGAAUCAUCGAAUCUUUGAACGCACAUUGCGCCCGCCAGUAUUCUGGUGGGCAUGCCUGUUCGAGCGUCAUUUCAACCAUCAAGCCCCAGGCUUGUGUUGGGGACCUGCGGCUGCCGCAGGCCCUGAAAACCAGUGGCGGGCUCGCUGUCACACCGGGCGUAGUAGAUUUUAUCUCGCUCAGGGCGUGCUGCGGGUUCCGGCCGUUAAAAAGCCUUUUUUACCCAAGGUUGACCUCGGAUCAGGUAGGAAGACCCGCUGAACUUAAGCAUAUCAAUAAGCGGAGGA
rnacentral:misc_RNA from 1 species